AAAAGCUGCUAAAUAUCUGGAUUCUCCUCCACCUAAAAUAGCCACAGAGCCCCCAUCUCCCUUGAACUCGGGCCCUCGGCACUGGGUACAAUCUUCACGAGCUCUGUAGAGGAGCUCCUCCCAGGGCUGUGCUCCCUGUGUUUUCCUCUCGACUGUAUUCCUGCUUUCUCGUGAACAUACCCCUGAAGAAAGUAAACUGGAAAUCCGAAGGUAAGCGUUUGCUGUUUGCUCUAGGGUAUUUAAAGACCACUGAAGUCAGCUCGGCUUAUCUGGGUUGGCUGUGGUGUUUUAGGUGGACCUCAGGCCGGUUAGGACUAAGUUGUGAUCACCCUUCUACUGAGGGCACCAGGGAUAAGUCAAUAAGUAAGCUUUUGCUGUUUGCUCAGGGAUGGUUAAAGGCCACUGUUUUAUGUGGGUUGGCUGUGGCGUUAGGUGGACCUCAGGACAGUUAUGGACAUCAGGAGUGUUCACCCUUCCACUGAGUAGACCAGGGAUGAAUAGAAUACAAUGGCUACUGAUUACAAGCAUGUAUCUACUACUCAAAUAUUAUGGACUAGUUCAUAUUUAUAUAAUGACAGGAGACAUGAAUUCCUGGUGAAAGGAAAGCGCAUUAAUUUUCUAUUUUAGUUAUCUAAAAAGACUAAUACAUGGUUCUUCUGUUUCAAGUUUUAAAUCAAUUUUUUGUUUAACUGUAAAAAAGAAUAUCCAAAAAUUUAUCUUUAAUUCUUGUUAAUAAAGAUAAUCACCACUCAGUAGGCUUUUAGAUUUAUAAAUAUAUAGCAAUUCUACAUAAAAUGGGAAAGCAGCCUGUCAAAGAUGACUCACUAAUGGCUGCAUCGCAUGUAUUUAGUACUGACAAAGAGGGCUUGACUUUCUACCACUUCUAAUCUGACAAAGGAGAAAAAAAAACAGUAACUACUAGUUAUGUUCUAAAAUUGUAAUGUGUGCUGCAGAAAUAGUAUGAACAAUAUUAAAAGACCAUAAGAACACAGAACAAAGGCAGGCUCCAACAGAAUAAAGCAAUGGGAAGUCAUGGAGGACAGAGACCAGAGGACACAGAGGAGAGAAGGACAAUAAGGCAGUGCUUCCAUGGGAUGUGCAUCUAGGCACGAGUGCACCAUAAUGCAUCAAACCAUCUCCUGCAUCUCCAUAGCGAGAGAUAACAUUUCCUUAUAAUUACUAUUAUACGCAUGUAAGAAAUCUCAUGGAGAUAGACCAAGAGAAUAAAACUCUUACCUGAGAGCAAAGCAGCAUGACUAGCUCCACCACGGAUGUGCUGGACUUCAUACAAACAAGGCCUGUGCAGGGAAAGGGCAACGCAAAGAGUUACCACAGGGAAGGCACAGAACUACCUGGUUUUAAAGUAUAAAAGAUUCUAUGAGAUGAGACUUCAGAAAUUAGCUUUAUCCAUAUACUCUUCCACAUUAUUUAAAAUAUUCAGAUGUUUCAAAUUUUAUGAAAAUUUCUAAAAUAUUGAUUUUAUGGGAUGACUAUUGAAAUCGGGCUAGUCAGAGCUGCAUUAAUCCAAAGGUAUUGCUAUAUGACUGUUUCCUGGAGUAGAGUACAAGGACGAAAGACCUGCUGGCAUUUUCUACUUGGAGGAUCAAAAUUAAACAAUGUAUGCAUACGUCAUUUACCACAGCUCAUUAAAUGGUCCAAACUCACAGACCAGGAACAACAAGGAUUGAAAACAACACACACAAUAGGUAUAUAGUCAUAUGGAUCACCAACUCUACAUCUGCAGGGGAAUGUGCUAAGUUCCCUACAUCAUGAUCUCAUAUAGGUCUCAUCAGUUCUAAGGUCAUGCCUACUCUACAGAAAAAAACAUCCUGGAAAUGGGCAGUGGUGGUACACGCCUUCAAUCCUAGUACUUGGUUUUAAAAAACC
ensembl:antisense Gm43376 predicted gene 43376